GCCAGGCGUGGUGGCGCACGCCUGUAAUCUCAGCUACUCAGGAGGCUGAGGCACAAGAAUUGCUUGAACCCAGGAGGUGGAGGUUGCAGUGAGCCGAGAUCAUGCCACUGCACUCCAGCCUGGGUGACAGAGUGAAACUCUGUCUCUG
ensembl:misc_RNA Metazoa_SRP Metazoan signal recognition particle RNA